UCUCCCACGUCCACACCCUUAAGUCCGCCCCCACCCCCGCCUCUACAUCUCCAUCCUAACUCCCGAUCCCCAAUAUUCGUCAGUCCAUCUAACCCUAAUAGCACUACGCCGCCACAAAUCAAGACAUGGAACAACAUCUACUCUCUUCCUCUCCAGCUUCCCCAGGCGGCGACUACGCAGUGAAUGAUGCGGGGGCGCGUGUGCAACGAGAAAGGGUGAGGCGGAACAUGGUUCUAACGGUGGACCAACGGCAAUCCAGGCUCGACUCAUCGUUUCCCCCUUUCAGAUUUAUGUCUGUUUUUCUCGUUCUUGAUUAGUUCCGCAACCUUGCCGCAUCGGAUUCUGUUGGUUGGUGGUGACGCUGAAGGCACUGAUGGGGAUUUCAAAUCGGGGGAGACGAGGGCAAUCGGGCUUAGGACCUGCAGGCUGCAUCCACCGCUGUUGACAUCGCUGCCGGCAUCGUCGGUAGCCAUCUCAUGUCUAUCCUCACAUGUGCCUAACUGUCCGCCCGUGAUAUUAUCUGUUCACUGUCAGGCCUAUCACAGCUUUCACCAGCUGGAAAUUUAAUUCCUGAAGUUUCAAUAGGAGAAACUUGGUUUUACUUCAGCAGAUUAGAAGAAAUUUGUGUGUGAACUAAUUGUCGUGGACCCUUAUCUUGGCAAGUUAUGCAGGUGAUGUUUAACUGGAUGGACAUGUUAUUUGUGUUUCCUACUGAAUACUUGGAAUUUUGGCUGGUAAACAAAGGAAGUGGAACUAUAUUUUUAUGUUUGCUGGUUUUGAGGCCACUAAAAACUCCUAUUUACCCAGAGGUGCAAUGGGCUAUUUCAGGUUCAUGGUAUAUGGCACAUUGUCCUACAUGCAGACUUGCGUUGGCAUGCUACUGAUGUGUUAAAAGAAAUUCCAAGCAGCAUGCUGGCAUGAAUUUAAAGAUUCAAAAGAUAAAUGGAUGAUGAUAUGGGUAACAAGUUGAGCGGGAGGAGGACAAUGUUAUUAAUGCUGGAUACUAUACUUCACAUAUUAGGAUCUUUAGUUAUCUUUACUACCUCUGAUCCCAUUAAAUUGACGUUGAAGUUGUGAAGAUCGCGUGCAUGUGUACAUGGUAUGCGCGUUGAUUAAAAUGGAUUGAAGGGAGUAGGAGGGAAGUGAUGUUGUAAACAUAGUAUUUGUAUAUGUACCACGUGGAUGGUGUUCCUUUUGUAAUGCUACAAUUUUAAUUCAAUAUAUAAUAUCAUUCUCUUCUCUA